UCCUCCGGGGGGGGGGGCCCUAAAUGCAGUCGAGCGGAACGAGUUAUAUGAACCUUCGGGGAACGAUAACGGAAAAAGCGGGAGACGGGUGAGUAAUGCCUAGGAAAUUGCCCUGAUGAGGGGGAAAACCAUUGGAAACGAUGGCUAAUACCGCAUAAUGCCUACGGGCCAAAGAGGGGGACCUUCGGUUUUAUCGCGUCAGGAUAUGCCUAGGUGGGAUUAGCUAGUUGGUGAGGUAAUGGCUCACCAAGGCGACGAUCCCUAGCUGGUCUGAGAGGAUGAUCAGCCACACUGGAACUGAGACACGGUCCAGACUCCUACGGGAGGCAGCAGUGGGGAAUAUUGCACAAUGGGCGCAAGCCUGAUGCAGCCAUGCCGCGUGUGUGAAGAAGGCCUUCGGGUUGUAAAGCACUUUCAGUCGUGAGGAAGGUGGUGUAGUUAAUAGCUGUAUCAUUUGACGUUAGCGACAGAAGAAGCACCGGCUAACUCCGUGCCAGCAGCCGCGGUAAUACGGAGGGUGCGAGCGUUAAUCGGAAUUACUGGGCGUAAAGCGCAUGCAGGUGGUUUGUUAAGUCAGAUGUGAAAAGCCCCGGGGCUCAACCUCGGAAUAGCAUUUGAAAACUGGCAGACUAGAGUACUGUAGAGGGGGGGGUAGAAAUUUCAGGUGUG
rnacentral:rRNA from 2 species